rnacentral:rRNA from 1 species
GAUGAACGCUAGCGGCAGGCUUAAUACAUGCAAGUCGAACGGUGAUAGCAACAUCAUAGUGGCGCACGGGUGCGUAACACGUAUGCAACCUACCUAUUAUUGGGGGAUAGCCUUUGGAAACGGAGAUUAAUACCGCAUAAUACGAUUGACUGGCAUCGGUUGAUUGUUAAAGCUUCGGCGAUAAUAGAUGGGCAUGCGUCCAAUUAGUUAGUUGGUGAGGUAAUGGCUCACCAAGACGAUGAUUGGUAGGGGAUCUGAGAGGAUAAUCCCCCACACUGGCACUGAGAUACGGGCCAGACUCCUACGGGAGGCAGCAGUAGGGAAUAUUGGGCAAUGGAGGGAACUCUGACCCAGCCAUGCCGCGUGCAGGAAGAAGGCGUUAUGCGUUGUAAACUGCUUUCUUAUAGGAAGAAGGAUCUCUUGCGAGAGAAGGUGACGGUACUAUAAGAAUAAGCACCGGCUAACUCCGUGCCAGCAGCCGCCGUAACAC